CUCAAAUGAAUUGACGGGGGCCCGCACAAGCGGUGGAGCAUGUGGUUUAAUUCGAUGCAACGCGAAGAACCUUACCUGGUCUUGACAUCCACAGAACUUUCCAGAGAUGGAUUGGUGCCUUCGGGAACUGUGAGACAGGUGCUGCAUGGCUGUCGUCAGCUCGUGUUGUGAAAUGUUGGGUUAAGUCCCGCAACGAGCGCAACCCUUAUC
rnacentral:rRNA from 2 species